rnacentral:rRNA from 1 species
GAUGAACGCUGGCGGCGUGCCUAAUACAUGCAAGUCGAGCGAACGGACGAGAAGCUUGCUUCUCUGAUGUUAGCGGCGGACGGGAGAGUAACACGUGGAUAACCUACCUAUAAGACUGGGAUAACUUCGGGAAACCGGAGCUAAUACCGGAUGAUAUUUUGAACCGCAUGGUUCAAAAGUGAAAGACGGUCUUGCUGUCACUUAUAGAUGGAUCCGCGCUGCAUUAGCUAGUUGGUAAGGUAACGGCUUACCAAGGCAACGAUGCAUAGCCGACCUGGGGGAGGGAUCGGCCACCCGGGAGCUGAGACACGGACCAGGCUCCUACGGGACGCAGCAGUAGGGUAUCUUCCGCAAUGGGCGAAAGCCUUACGGAGCAGCGCCGCGUGAGUUAUGAAGGUCCUCGGAUCGUAAAACUCUGUUAUUAGUUGUAAACAUAUGUGUAAGGAACUGUGCCCAUCGUGACGGUACCUAAUCAAAAAGCCCCGGCUAACUACGUG